UAGAGCGAAUCAGUUCUUGGGUAUCAGUGGUCUCCCAGAGUAGAGGGAUCAGUUCUAGGGUAUCAGUGGUCUCCUCCAGUAGAGGGAUCAGUUCUAGGGUAUCAGUGGUCUCCCCAGUAGAGGGAUCAGUUCUAGGGUAUCAGUGGUCUCCUCCAGUAGAGGGAUCAGUUCUAGGGUAUCAGUGGUCUCCUCCAGUAGAGGGAUCAGUUCUAGGGUAUCAGUGGUCUCCUCCAGUAGAGGGAUCAGUUCUAGGGUAUCAGUGGUCUCCUCCAGUAGAGGGAUCAGUUCUAGGGUAUCAGUGGUCUCCCCAGUAGAGGGAUCAGUUCUAGGGUAUCAGUGGUCUCCUCCAGUAGAGGGAUCAGUUCUAGGGUAUCAGUGGUCUCCUCCAGUAGAGGGAUCAGUUAUAGGGUAUCAGUGGUCUCCUCCAGUAGAGGGAUCAGUUAUAGGGUAUCAGUGGUCUCCCCAGUAGAGCGAAUCAGUUCUUGGGUAUCAGUGGUCUCCCAGAGUAGAGGGAUCAGUUCUAGGGUAUCAGUGGUCUCCUCCAGUAGAGGGAUCAGUUCUAGGGUAUCAGUGGUCUCCUCCAGUAGAGGGGAUCAGUUCUAGGGUAUCAGUUCUCUCCUCCGGUAGAGGGAUCAGUUCUAGGGUAUCAGUGGUCUCCUCCAGAAGAGGGAUCAGUUCUAGGGUAUCAGUUCUCUCCUCCAGUAGAGGGGAUCAGUUCUAGGGUAUCAGUUCUCUCCUCCAGUAGAGGGGAUCAGUUCUAGGGUAUCAGUGGUCUCCUCCAGAAGAGGGAUCAGUUCUAGGGCAUCAGUUCUCUCCUCCAGUAGAGGGAUCAGUUCUAGGGUAUCAGUGGUCUCCUCCAGUAGAGGGAUCAGUUCUAGGGUAUCAGUGGUCUCCUCCAGUAGAGGGGAUCAGUUCUCUCCUCCAGUAGAGGGAUCAGUUCUAGGGUAUCAGUGGUCUCCUCCAGUAGAGGGGAUCAGUUCUAGGGUAUCAGUGGUCUCCUCCAGUAGAGGGAUCAGUUCUAGGGUAUCAGUGGUCUCCCCAGUAGAGCGAAUCAGUUCUUGGGUAUCAGUGGUCUCCCAGAGUAGAGGGAUCAGUUCUAGGGUAUCAGUGGUCUCCUCCAGUAGAGGGAUCAGUUCUAGGGUAUCAGUGGUCUCCCCAGUAGAGGGAUCAGUUCUAGGGUAUCAGUGGUCUCCUCCAGUAGAGGGAUCAGUUCUAGGGUAUCAGUGGUCUCCUCCAGUAGAGGGAUCAGUUCUAGGGUAUCAGUGGUCUCCUCCAGUAGAGGGAUCAGUUCUAGGGUAUCAGUGGUCUCCUCCAGUAGAGGGAUCAGUUCUAGGGUAUCAGUGGUCUCCCCCAGUAGAGGGAUCAGUUCUAGGGUAUCAGUGGUCUCCUCCAGUAGAGGGAUCAGUUCUAGGGUAUCAGUGGUCUCCUCCAGUAGAGGGAUCAGUUCUAGGGUAUCAGUGGUCUCCUCCAGUAGAGGGAUCAGUUCUAGGGUAUCAGUGGUCUCCCCCAGUAGAGCGAAUCAGUUCUAGGGUAUCAGUGGUCUCCCCCAGUAGAGGGGAUCAGUUCUAGGGUAUCAGUGGUCUCCUCCAGAAGAGGGAUCAGUUGAAGGGUAUCAGUGGUCUCCUCCAGUAGAGGGAUCAGUUCUAGGGUAUCAGUGGUCUCCUCCAGUAGAGGGAUCAGUUCUAGGGU